rnacentral:rRNA from 1 species
AGCUAGUUGGUGAGGUAACGGCCCACCAAGGCGACGAUCGGUAGCCGGACUGAGAGGUUGAACGGCCACAUUGGGACUGAGACACGGCCCAGACUCCUACGGGAGGCAGCAGUGGGGAAUAUUGCACAAUGGGGGAAACCCUGAUGCAGCGACGCCGCGUGGAGGAAGAAGGUCUUCGGAUUGUAAACUCCUGUUGUUGAGGAAGAUAAUGACGGUACUCAACAAGGAAGUGACGGCUAACUACGUGCCAGCAGCCGCGGUAAAACGUAGGUCACAAGCGUUGUCCGGAAUUACUGGGUGUAAAGGGAGCGCAGGCGGGCGAUCAAGUUGGAAGUGAAAUCCAUGGGCUCAACCCAUGAACUGCUUUCAAAACUGGUCGUCUUGAGUAGUGCAGAGGUAGGCGGAAUUCCCGGUGUAGCGGUGGAAUGCGUAGAUAUCGGGAGGAGCACCAGUGGCGAAGGCGGCCUACUGGGCACCAACUGACGCUGAGGCUCGAAAGUGUGGGUAGCAAACAGGAUUAGAUACCCUGGUAGUCCACACCGUAAACGAUGAUUACUAGGUGUUGGGAGAUUGACCCUCUCAGUGCCGCAGUUAACACAAUAAGUAAUCCACCUGGGGAGUACGACCGCAAGGUUGAAACUCAAAGGAAUUGACGGGGGCCCGCACAAGCAGUGGAGUAUGUGGUUUAAUUCGACGCAACGCGAAGAACCUUACCAAGUCUUGACAUCCCUUGACGAUGCUGGAAACAGUAUUUCUCUUCGGAGCAAGGAGACAGGUGGUGCAUGGUUGUCGUCAGCUCGUGUCGUGAGAUGUUGGGUUAAGUCCCGCAACGAGCGCAACCCUUAUGGUCAGUUACUACGCAAGAGGACUCUGGCCAGACUGCCGUUGACAAAACGGAGGAAGGUGGGGAUGACGUCAAAUCAUCAUGCCCUUUAUGACUUGGGCUACACACGUACUACAAUGGCGUUAAACAAAGAGAAGCAAGACCGCGAGGUGGAGCAAAACUCAGAAACAACGUCCCAGUUCGGACUGCAGGCUGCAACUCGCCUGCACGAAGUCGGAAUUGCUAGUAAUCGUGGAUCAGCAUGCCACGGUGAAUACGUUCCCGGGCCUUGUACACACCGCCCGUCACACCAUGAGAGCCGGGGGGACCCGAAGUCGGUAGUCUAACCGCAAGGAGGACGCCGCCGAAGGUAAAACUGGUGAUUGGGGUGAAGUCGUAACAAGGUAGCCGUAGGAGAACCUGCGGCUG